GCCUUCGAUGAUCAGUGGUGAUCACCCCUUGCAAUUACGCAUAAUCCUUUCAUACAAUUAUGGGAUGUGUGGGGUUCGACUCCCCGCGAGGGCG